rnacentral:rRNA from 1 species
AGUGAACGCUGGCGGUAUGCCUAACACAUGCAAGUCGAACGGCAGCACAGUAAGAGCUUGCUCUUACGGUUGGCGACUGGCGGAUGGGUGACGCAUACAUCGGCUUCUUCUUUUUCGUGGGGGAUUACGUAGGGAAACUUAUGCUAAUACCGCAUACUUCCUACGGGUUAAAGCAGGGGAUCUUCACACCUUUCGCGAUUGUAUUAGCUGGUGUCGGAUUAGCUAGUUGGGUUGGUAAAGGCCCACCAAGGCAACGAUCCGUAGCAGGUCUGAGAGGAUGAUCGGCCACACUGGAACUGAGACACGGUCCAGACUCCUACGGGAGGCAGCAGUAGGGAAUAUUCGGCAAUGGGCGAAAGCCUGACGGAGCAAUGCCGCGUGAGUGAAGAAGGCCUUCGGGUCGUAAAACUCUGUUAUUAGGGAAGAAAAGAAGCGGAUGAAAACGCGGAUAUUCUGACGGAACCUAAAGAAAAAGCACCGGCUAACUUCGUG